rnacentral:rRNA from 1 species
GGUUCAUUCAAAUUUCUGCCCUAUCAACUUUCGAUUGUAGGGUAUUGGCCUACAAUGGUUUCAACGGGUAACGGAGAAUUAGGGUUCGAUUCCGGAGAGGGAGCCUGAGAAACGGCUACCACAUCCAAGGAAGGCAGCAGGCGCGCAAAUUACCCAAUCCCGACCGGGGAGGUAGUGACAAUAAAUACUGAUACAGGGCUCUUUUGGGUCUUGUAAUUGGAAUGAGUACAAUUUAAAUCCCUUAACGAGGAACAAUUGGAGGGCAAGUCUGGUGCCAGCAGCCGCGGUAAUUCCAGCUCCAAUAGCGUAUAUUAAAGUUGUUGCAGUUAAAAAGCUCGUAGUUG